rnacentral:RNase_P_RNA from 1 species
CUGGACUGACGAUUGGUCGCUUCCGCCUCAGGCGGAGGAGGAAAGUCCGGGCAGCACAUGGACAAUGGCAGUUGCUAACGGCAACCGGGGGUAACCCCAGGGAAAGUGCCACAGAAACAACACAACCGAACCCCUAAAGGAUUGGAAAUGGUGAAACGAGUGGAGUAAGAGCCCACAGUCCCGACGGGUGACCGUUGGGAAAGGUAAACCCUGCCUGCUGCAAGGAGAUAUGUCGCAACUAGAGGAGUCCACUCGCGGCUUGUCAUAAGAACCGCUCGAGUCGCCGAGUAAUCGGCGACCCAGAUAGAUGGCCAAAUAAAACAGAACCCGGCUUACGGUUAACCCAGACCA